CUACGUGCCAGCAGCCGCGGUAAUACGUAGGGCGCGAGCGUUGUCCGGAAUUAUUGGGCGUAAAGGGCUUGUAGGCGGUUGGUCGCGUCUGCCGUGAAAUCCUCUGGCUUAACUGGGGGCGUGCGGUGGGUACGGGCUGACUUGAGUGCGGUAGGGGAGACUGGAACUCCUGGUGUAGCGGUGGAAUGCGCAGAUAUCAGGAAGAACACCGGUGGCGAAGGCGGGUCUCUGGGCCGUUACUGACGCUGAGGAGCGAAAGCGUGGGGAGCGAACAGGAUUAGAUACCCUGGUAGUCCGCACAGUAAACGAUGGAUGCCCGCUGUUGGUACCUGGUAUCAGCGGCUAAGCGAAAGCAUUAAGCAUCCCACCUGGGGAGUACGCCGGCAACGGUGAAACUCAAAGGAAUUGACGGGGGCCCGCACAAGCGGAGGAACAUGUGGUUUAAUUCGAUGAUACGCGAGGAACCUUACCCGGGCUUGAAUUGCAGAGGAAGUAUUUAGAGAUA
rnacentral:rRNA from 1 species